rnacentral:misc_RNA from 1 species
UAAGAAUCCCAACUGAAAAAGAUAUCAUAAUCAUUGCCAAGGUACAAAUGAUAAUGAAAUAUCAACAGUAAAGACUAAAAGUGACUUUCAGUAAAUUCCAACUAAAUCCCCAUCGCAAUUCCCAUCCACUCCAUGUCCUACCUUCAAAGAAAGGGGGAAAAAAUUCCAAGGGCUUAGAUGUAGCUGCAAUAGAUAUGUUACAAGUAAAUUUACAUAGCAAGUAGCUUCAUUCUUGCUUCAAUAUCACACUACUCUCAUAAUUUAGAAAUAUUAAACUCUAAUCAUACCUAAAAUAACAUUCUAAUUCACCAACUACUCAAUUCUUAACAUUUAUGGAAUAAUAUUUCACUUUCACAUUUAUCUCACAAUCACAGUAAUCCACAAAAGAAAGGCAAGCCAAUAUCGUUCAUGAAAGCAAGUAAAAUA